AAAGUUACUGAUGUUUAUUUUUCUCCAGCUGUAUUUUUUUUUCACUUAGAAGCUAUGGGAGAAUUAUUCAGGGCUAAGUCAUAUUAAAACUCAGUAUUUUAAUAGUGUCAAGCUGUAGGUGGCUUCCUCACCCCUUAUCUGGAGAGUUUAGUGGGAGGAGUGGGACCUCUGAAACCAACACUUCAGAUAGGAGUAACUCUUGUUAAAUAACAACAAAAAAUCAAGAUUUGCUGUCAGUGCCCUGUAUGCAACCUUCUUUGUAAGGCACGGGAAAACAGAGGGCCUUCAUUCUGCUCCUUUAAAGAGUCUCUUAGAGGACCUGAGAAAAGUUGAGCAUCUCAGAGAUGCUCUUUUAAGGACAGAUCAGGGCAUGCUUUGUGCUCCUACUGAUUCUGAGUGAUGUUCUUAGCACCUUGCAGAUCAGGGCUCUGCUAGAGUGCAAUUUCUCCUCCCAGUUUUUACCACCUUACUAAUGAACGUUUGCUGCAUGUACUGUUAGGACUUUGCUGACAGCCAGCGUUCAUCCAAAUACCACUUUCAUUAGGCUUCCUAUUGUGCAAGUUAAUUGAAUUGCUGUCUGUGACUACCUCUGUACCUGACUGUAGCUGCCUGGGUUGUAGUGUUUUUCAUAGCUCUGUCACUGAGAUGCAAAAGGUGGAUGAUCACUGCCAUUGAAAGCACUGCAUGAUGUAUCAAAGUCUGAUACUGAGUUUCUGUAGAGAACUCAUCUGCUAUAACAAUAACAGAUACCUGACUGAACAGCCUGCAUUCUUCAGUUUCCUUGCUUUUGUCAGUUAUAGGAGCUUGGCUUCUGCUAAGGUGAGCUUUCUGCCACUUUCCACUGAAAAUAUCUUUCUAGUCUUGAAGGUUUUUUCUCUUUUAUUUGUUGACUUCAUAUCAAGCGUGCACAUUCUUGUGCUCUAAGGGAAUAGGAAUGCUGUAUAAUGGAGCUGGAAAAUUUUUCCUAACUGUGGUUAGACAAACACAGCAACUUUCAAGGUGCUGAGGUGGCAAUGAGCAAAAAACUGAACUAGAAGUUGGCAUGCACUAGAACAAAAGAUGCAUUUGUUCCAUCCAGUCUUUCCUUUUACACACAAAAAAGACUUAGCAUCAAGCCUUGGUUUUUUUUAAGUCUGCAUUGAUAGUCUGCUGCCUUUUCCAGCAGUCUCAAGUUUAUUCACUUACCACUUUCAGAAGCUGCUCCUGAACUGGGAAUUGAAUGCAGCCCACCAACAAAAAAACAAACCAAAACAAACAAAAAAAAACCCAAAAAUGUAGGUGUCAACAGCUUAUUGGAAUUAGGAUGGAAGUCACUGCCAAAAUGAAAAUACAAAGCAGGAAAUCCAACUUACCUAAAUUAAUUGAAGUUUCUAACGGCCUGCUAGCUAAAGUAUAUCAUGUGCCUUUCCAUAACCCUGCAGUCCCUGUACAUAUGGUCCUUCUGGGCUUAUUCCCGCUUUCUCAUGGAUUUCUACAAGCUCCUGUGCGUGUGAAAUCCUUAAAUUUGUCAGUCUUGGCCUUCUCAGCAUAGUAGAUGGCAGUGUUUUUUGGUGGUGUUGUUUUAUUUUUUUUAAUUAGUGCUUUUAACUGCUUUUCCCAACAAAGGUUUUUCACCGAUGUCCAAGUAGUAUAAUCUCCGAUUUGAAAACCUAGAAUUGCAGGAGCUAGCUAAUCAGGGGGACAGCCUGAUAAACGAGUUAGCAGAAAGUCUUGCAAGCAUCUGAAGUAGAGGUUUAUAGAAGUUGCAAUGCUUAAUUAUUUUUUGCUAUUAUUAAAUACUUAAAGAUCAAUAACAGAGCAUGGAGCAAGAACCUUUCUGCUGCCGCUGAAGUCCAUCAUCUUCUGGGCUUGGACACAGACCACAAAGUCUUAUGAUGUGAUUACUUUCUUGUCUGUUCAUACCACGUACUAGGUACUGUGCAAUUACUUCCCCUUGAGACAGAAAUUGCUUGUAUAAUUAACUUAGCUAAGAGGGACUACUGCAUGUGCCAUACUUUGGAGUGACAGAAUAGGGAAUGUUUAUUGCUUUCUUCUGCAGUUGCAUAUUACUGUAAGCUUGCUUGCCUACAUCCUUAUUGCUCGUUUCCCUAGAGAAGGGGUAUGUUACGCCUGAAAGAUGAUAGCCUGAAUAAAGUUGGAUCCCACUUCCUGGG
ensembl:lncRNA